CCUACGGGAGGCAGCAGUGGGGAAUAUUGCACAAUGGGCGAAAGCCUGAUGCAGCGACGCCGCGUGAGGGAUGACGGCCUUCGGGUUGUAAACCUCUUUCAGCAGGGAAGAAGCUUUAUUGUGACGGUACCUGCAGAAGAAGCACCGGCUAACUACGUGCCAGCAGCCGCGGUAAUACGUAGGGCGCAAGCGUUAUCCGGAAUUAUUGGGCGUAAAGAGCGUGUAGGCGGCUUGGUAAGUCUGCUGUGAAACCUUGGGGCUCAACCCCAAGCGUGCAGUGGAUACUGUCAAGCUAGAGGAUGGUAGAGGCCAGUGGGAUUCCCAGUGUAGCGGUGAAAUGCGCAGAUAUCAGGAGGAACACCGAUGGCGAAGGCAGGUCUCUGGGCUGUUACUGACGCUGAGGAGCGAAAGCAUGGGGAGCGAACAGGAUUAGAUACCCUGGUAGUCCAUGCCGUAAACGUUGGGCACUAGGUGUGGGGAACAUUCCACGUUUUCCGCGCCGUAGCUAACGCAUUAAGUGCCCCGCCUGGGGAGUACGGCCGCAAGGCUAAAACUCAAAUGAAUUGACGGGG
rnacentral:rRNA from 1 species